rnacentral:rRNA from 1 species
UACGUAGGCAGCGAGCGUUGUUCGGAUUUACUGGGCGUAAAGGGUGUGUAGGCGGUUGUUUAAGUUUGGUGUGAAAUCUCCCGGCUCAACUGGGAGGGUGCGCCGAAUACUGAAUGACUUGGAGUGCGGGAGAGGAAAGUGGAAUUCCUGGUGUAGCGGUGAAAUGCGUAGAUAUCAGGUGGAACACCGGUGGUGUAGACGGCUUUCUGGACCGUAACUGACGCUGAGACACGAAAGCGUGGGUAGCAAACAGG